AACGAACGCUGGCGGCAUGCCUAACACAUGCAAGUCGAACGAGACCUUCGGGUCUAGUGGCGCACGGGUGCGUAACGCGUGGGAACCUGCCCUUAGGUUCGGAAUAACUCCCCGAAAGGGGUGCUAAUACCGGAUAAUGUCUUCGGACCAAAGAUUUAUCGCCUUUGGAUGGGCCCGCGUUGGAUUAGCUAGUUGGUAGGGUAAAAGCCUACCAAGGCGACGAUCCAUAGCUGGUCUGAGAGGAUGAUCAGCCACACUGGGACUGAGACACGGCCCAGACUCCUGCAGGAUGGAGCAAUGGGGGAUAUUGGACAAUGGGCGGAAGGCUGAACCAGCUAGGCCGGGUGAGUGAUGAAGGCCUUAGGGUUGUAAAGCUCUUUUACACGGGAUGAUAAUGACAGUACCGGGAGAAUAAGCUCCGGCUAACUCCGUG
rnacentral:rRNA from 1 species